rnacentral:rRNA from 1 species
UACGUAGGCAGCAAGCGUUGUUCGGAGUUACUGGGCGUAAAGGGUGCGUAGGUGGCUUUUUAAGUUUGGUGUGAAAUCUCCCGGCUCAACCGGGAGGGUGCGCCGAAUACUGAGAGGCUAGAGUGUGGGAGAGGAAAGUGGAAUUCCUGGUGUAGCGGUGAAAUGCGUAGAUAUCAGGAGGAACACCGGUGGUGUAAACGGCUUUCUGGACCAUAACUGACGCUGAGGCACGAAAGCGUGGGUAGCAAACAGG